rnacentral:lncRNA from 1 species
UAAAGGCUCACAGGAUUUUGGCAAAACUGUUUCCAGGAAAGAAGAUGGAUACAUAUGGGCAUCACUGUGAGAUCUCCCCUUGUUCCUGGAAUUAUUUAAGAGCUUUGCUGUGUCUGAGCAAGGUGCUCAUGAAGUAUCAAGGGCCACAUUCUACCAUGUGAACCUGAAGAAGGGUGUAAGUAAUGUAACCCUGAAAAAACAACCAACUGGCCACUGCUCAUUAAACUGCCAUUUGCUCCAAGAGAGACCAAGAUGGAAAGGGUCUCACCAGGAAGACUCUAAUACAGCAAGGAGGAAGGGCUGAGGAGAUGCUGGUCAGGCUUGUGGCCCAGGUGACUUGGGAGUGCGUGGUGUGGAGAUGGAUACUCAAAGCAGUCCUCUGUAGUAGGGUCCCCAGGCUGUUGUCAACCAUUCCUGAGGAGUGACUGUGGCCAAAGUUUUGAUACUUAACAAGUGACAGUGUGGUGUGUGUGUGAGAGAGUGUGAGUGUGUGAGGAUAAUGUAUAUGUAAGAAAGUGUGUGUAUAU